rnacentral:tRNA from 1 species
GCGGAUAUGGUGAAGUGGUUAACACACCCGGCUGUGAACCGGUCAUGCGGGGGUUCGAGUCCCCUUAUCCGCCCCA